GUGUUAUUAGCUUAGUUGGUUAAAGCGCUGGGUUGUGGUUCCAGAGAUCAUGGGUCCCAUAUAACACCUA
rnacentral:tRNA from 1 species